rnacentral:rRNA from 1 species
GCCUAUCAGCUAGCUCACACACUAAAAGCAAGCUUUACAUAUUUAUACCCCUAAAUAUACCACCACUAAAAAACAAAACAUUUACCCACCCUAGUACAGGCGAUGGAACAGAACAAAAGAAGCAAUAGAAAAAGUACCGCAAGGGAAAGCUGAAAAAGAAAUGAAACAAAUCAGUCAAGCAAGAAAAAGCAGAGAUUUUCCCUUGUACCUUUUGCAUCAUGAUUUAGCCAGCCUAAUUCAAGCAAAGAGAACUGUAGUUUGAAACCCCGAAUCUAAGUGAGCUACUCCAGGACAGUCUAUUUAUAGGACCUACCCGUCUCUGUGGCAAGAGAGUGGGGAGAGCCUCGAGUAGAGGUGAUAAACCUACCGAACUUAGUGAUAGCUGGUUGUCUGAGAAAUGAAUAGAAGUUCAGCAUUUAAAUUUCUUAAACCACACACCAACUAUAGGUUAAAGAAAUUUAAACAGUUAGUCAAAAGAGGUACAGCCCUUUUGACCAUAGACACAACUUUACCCAGGUGGAUAAGGAUUACAGUUUAAUUAAGGCAAAGUACACUAGUGGGCCUAAAAGCAGCCAUCUAUAUAAAAAGCGUUAAAGCUUAAGUACCUCCCCCCGCCUAUAAUACCCAUACCUUUCUCCCACUCCCCUUCCCCUAUCAGACUUCCUUAUGCCCCCAUAAAGGUAAUUAUGCUAAAAUGAGUAAUAAGAGAAACGACUCUCUCCUAGCACAAGUGUAAACCAGAACGGACUACCCGCUGGUAAUUAACCGGACCCAAAAAGAGGGAACUGACCUAUAAACAAAAAACUAGAAAAACAACCAACCCUCCCCCGUUAACCUUACACAAGAGUGCCCCCCGGGAAAGACUAAAAGGGAAGGAAGGAACUCGGCAAACUAAGCCUCGCCUGUUUACCAAAAACAUCGCCUCCUGACUACUAAUUAUAGGAGGUCCCGCCUGCCCUGUGAUCAUGUAUUUAACGGCCGCGGUAUCCUAACCGUGCAAAGGUAGCGCAAUCACUUGUCUUUUAAAUGAAGACCUGUAUGAAUGGCAUAACGAGGGCUUAACUGUCUCCCUUCCCCAGUCAAUGAAAUUGAUCUCCCCGUGCAGAAGCGGGGAUAGUUCUAUAAGACGAGAAGACCCUGUGGAGCUUUAGACACAAAGAUGGCCCCUGUAAAGAAUACUCACACCAAGAGCACAAACAAAAGGAAAACCCACCUUGCUGUCUUCGGUUGGGGCGACCACGGGGUAAUAACCAACCCCCGAGAGGAAUAAAAGAACUUUUUUAAACCUAGAGCGCCAGCUCAAAGUACCAGAACAUCUGACCUAUAUGACCCGGCUUUUAAGCCGAUCAACGAAACCAGUUACCCCAGGGAUAACAGCGCAAUCCUUUCCCAGAGCCCAUAUCGACGAAAGGGUUUACGACCUCGAUGUUGGAUCAGGACAUCCUAAUGGUGCAGCCGCUAUUAAGGGUUCGUUUGUUCAACGAUUAAAGUCCUACGUGAUCUGAGUUCAGACCGGAGUAAUCCAGGUCAGCUUCUAUCUAUAAAUUGUUCUUUUCUAGUACGAAAGGAUCGAAAAGACAAGGCCAAUGCCUCAAGCAAGCCUUCUUUCCAUCUAAUGAAACCAACUUAAUUAGACAAAGAAAACUCUUACCUAACCCUAGAUAUAGGGAGU